rnacentral:rRNA from 1 species
AACGAACGCUGGCGGCAUGCCUAACACAUGCAAGUCGAACGAGACCUUCGGGUCUAGUGGCGCACGGGUGCGUAACGCGUGGGAACCUGCCCUUAGGUUCGGAAUAACUCCCCGAAAGGGGUGCUAAUACCGGAUAAUGUCUUCGGACCAAAGAUUUAUCGCCUUUGGAUGGGCCCGCGUUGGAUUAGCUAGUUGGUAGGGUAAAAACCUACCAAGGCGACGAUCCAUAGCUGGUCUGAGAGGAUGAUCAGCCACACUGGGACUGAGACACGGCCCAGACUCCUACGGGAAGCAGCAGUGGGGAAUAUUGGACAAUGGGCGAAAGCCUGAUCCAGCAAUGCCGCGUGAGUGAUGAAGGCCUUAGGGUUGUAAAGCUCUUUUACCCGGGAUGAUAAUGACAGUACCGGGAGAAUAAGCUCCGGCUAACUCCGUG